rnacentral:rRNA from 1 species
CCUACGGGUGGCUGCAGUGGGGAAUAUUGCACAAUGGGGGAAACCCUGAUGCAGCAACGCCGCGUGAGUGAAGAAGUAUUUCGGUAUGUAAAGCUCUAUCAGCAGGGAAGAAAAUGACGGUACCUGAGUAAGAAGCCACGGCUAAAUACGUGACGGUCGCCGCGGUAAUAGGGGGGGGGCAAGCGUUGUCCGGGUUUGCUGGGUGUAAAGGGAGCGUAGGCGGGGAUACAAGUCUGAAGGGAAGGCCCGGGGCUCAACCGGGGGAGUGCAUUGGAAACUGUGUUGCUGGAGUGCUGGAGAGGCGAGAGGAAGGCGUGGUGUAGCGGUGAAAUGCGUAGAUAUUAGGAAGAACACCGGUGGCGAAGGCGGCUUGCGGGACAGUGACUGACGUUGAGGCUCGAAAGCGUGGGGAGCAAACAGGAUUAGAGACCCGAGUAGUC